rnacentral:rRNA from 1 species
UGAACGCUGGCGGCAUGCCUUACACAUGCAAGUCGAACGGCAGCGCGGACUUCGGUCUGGCGGCGAGUGGCGAACGGGUGAGUAAUACAUCGGAACGUACCCUGUUGUGGGGGAUAACUAGUCGAAAGAUUAGCUAAUACCGCAUACGACCUGAGGGUGAAAGUGGGGGACCGCAAGGCCUCACGCAGCAGGAGCGGCCGAUGUCUGAUUAGCUAGUUGGUGGGGUAAAGGCCCACCAAGGCGACGAUCAGUAGCUAGUCUGAGAGGACGAUCAGCCACACUGGGACUGAGACACGGCCCAGACUCCUACGGGAGGCAGCAGUGGGGAAUUUUGGACAAUGGGGGCAACCCUGAUCCAGCAAUGCCGCGUGUGUGAAGAAGGCCUUCGGGUUGUAAAGCACUUUUGUCCGGAAAGAAAUCGCGCUGGUUAAUACCUGGCGUGGAUGACGGUACCGGAAGAAUAAGCACCGGCUAACUACGUG